CCCUUAGAUGUUCUGGGCGGCCCGCGCACUACAAUGGCGUGUGCAGCGAGUGCCGAAGUAGAGUUUUCCGAGGUAUUCUUGCAAUGCUCGUUUUGAUGGGGAUAGACCCUUGCAACUGUUGGUUUUGAACGAGGAAUUCCUUGUAAGCAUGGUUUAUCAUCCGACGCUGAAUGCGUCCCUGCCCUUUGUACACACCGCCCGUCGCACCUACCGAUUGAAUGGUUCGGUGAAGAUCUCGGACUUCGAUAUUUAUUCUUUAUUGAGUUUAUAUUGUGGGAAGUUAUCUAAACCUCAUCAUUUAGAGGAAGGUGAAGUCGUAACA
rnacentral:rRNA from 1 species